UUUCCGUAGGUGAACCUGCGGAAGGAUCAUUACAAAUCUUUUGCGAGUGUUGGAGCUUGAGCGUAGCAUCUCACAACAUUUUGCAACAUUUACACAAGGUCGAAAGGCUUUGAUGUUCACGCUUGUAUGUUUGACAGAGUUAGUUGAGACAAUAACAAAGACAACUUUUAACAAUGGAUCUCUUGGCUCUUGCAUCGAUGAAGAACGCAGC
rnacentral:misc_RNA from 1 species